rnacentral:rRNA from 1 species
GACGAACGCUGGCGGCGUGCCUAAUACGUGCAAGUAGGACGCUGAAGGAGGAGCUUGCUUCUCUGGAUGAGUUGCGAACGGGUGAGUAACGCGUAGGUAACCUGCCUGGUAGCGGGGGAUAACUAUUGGAAACGAUAGCUAAUACCGCAUAAUAGUAGAUGUUGCAUGACAUUUGCUUAAAAGUUGCAAUUGCAUCACUACCAGAUGGACCUGCGUUGUAUUAGCUAGUUGGUGGGGUAACGGCUCACCAAGGCGACGAUACAUAGCCGACCUGAGAGGGUGAUCGGCCACACUGGGACUGAGACACGGCCCAGACUCCUACGGGAGGCAGCAGUAGGGAAUCUUCGGCAAGGGACGGAAGUCUGACCGAGCAACGCCGCGUGAGUGAAGAAGGUUGUCGGAUCGUAAAGCUCUGUUGUAAGAGAAGAACGAGUGUGAGAGUGGAAAGUUCACACUGUGACGGUAUCUUACCAGAAAGGGACGGCUAACUACGUG